AUUCAUCAUGACCAAAAACAUAGCGUGCGCGUACACGUGCAGUGCGCGCCGCCGUUCCUGCGGAAUUCAGGAGGCUGUGGUUGGACUCCGAAAGGCUCCCACCUAGAAAAUAAUGAACAACAAAUUUGACGCUCUGAAAGAUGAUGACAGUGGAGACCACGACCAGGACCAAGGCUCACCGAAAGACGGUGAGAAGGAAAAAACUGAAGAUGAGGAACAGAACGCCUCCAGGAAAAAGAUGGUGGUGCCAGGGGCAGGAGAGCACCCUCUUCAAUAUAACUACAGCUUCUGGUACUCCAGGCGUACCCCAGGGAGACCAGCCAGCACUCAGAGUUAUGAACAGAACAUUAAACAGAUCGGCAGCUUCGCCUCGGUGGAACAGUUCUGGCGUUUCUAUAGCCACAUGAUAAGGCCAGGCGAUCUUACAGGCCAUAGUGACUUCCACCUCUUCAAGGAGGGUAUAAAGCCCAUGUGGGAGGAUGAUGCCAAUAAGAUGGGUGGUAAGUGGAUCAUCCGUCUGAGGAAAGGCCUGGCAUCUCGGUGCUGGGAGAACCUGAUCCUGGCCAUGCUUGGGGAGCAGUUCAUGGUUGGGGAGGAGAUCUGUGGAGCGGUGGUGUCUGUACGCUUCCAGGAGGACAUCAUCUCUAUAUGGAAUAAGACAGCAAGUGACCAGGCAACCACUGCCCGCAUCAGAGACACCCUGCGUAGAGUCCUCAACCUGCCCCCAAACACCAUCAUGGAGUACAAGACGCACACAGACAGCAUUAAGUAUGUAUGUCUCUUCGUUUUUUUUAUUCUCUUCACUCUCUCUCUCUCUUCUUCUCACACAUAAAUGUAUGCAUGAUUACAAACUUAAACUUUUGUUACCUGAAGGACCUGUAAUGCAUGAAUGUUGCUUUAAAGAUCAGAACUAUGGGAGGAAUACCCUUUUUUUUUUAACUUAUACAUUUCCAAAUAUUUGCUAAUUCUUUUAUUGUAAAUGUAAGGAUUUAAUGCUUCUGAUGUUUUGUUUUAAACAUUUUAAAAUUAAUAUUUGGUUGUUUUUGACUUUUGGGUUAAAAAAGAAUCAUUAUAAGGUUACUUUUGACUCCAGUAACAUAUUUUUCUUGUUACUUUGUAAUAUUUAAUUGAAAAAUGUACACUUUAGUUGUAGGAUUAAUUUAUGAAGAUGUUUUUUGUUAGUGUGUGUGGGGGGGAUUGAAAGUCAUACAAACAAGCCUUUUUUGUUAACAUCAUAAGUCUGUGUUUAAAAACCUAAAAAAUAACCAAAAUACUUCGUUGUGAUUCCUCCAUUAACUUUAAUUUUUUUAGAAAUAUAUUUAUUAGUUUUUUUUUAACAGUUCAAACAAAACAUAUACACUUGGCUCACACAUGGUUAACAUUCAAGUUAAGUUAAUACAGGUGUCAGGCACAGGAUUCACAAUGUACAUUGCAGAGGAAAAGAAAGUAAAGGAAUAAAUAAAAUAAAAAAAUAAUGAUGAUAAUAAAAAGUUGUCUAUAGCACAAAGCCUCUUGUCAGAAUACUGGAAAUAUUUAGCCCAAUAUAUACCAGAAAGGGUUCCCAUGUUCUACGGAAGACAUCGUCUCUGGAAUGUGGUUUACAUGUUGAAUAGUCCAGUGGGACAUGUUCAAGUACGACUCUCUGCCAUUGUAGCUUGGAAGGGAUCCUAUCUGUGAUCCAGUUUAAAAGAAUACACUUUCUGGCACAGAAAGUUAACAUCUUAUAAAGUUUCCUCUUAUAUUUGUCAGUAACAGUAGCAUUAGGUAUGCCAAGAAGUAAUGACAAUGGUCCACCUUCGGUAUUAAUAUGUAGGAUCUUGUUAAUUUCGUGUUCUAUGAUCUGCCAGAAAAGUUAGAAAUAUCAUUAAGUUUGUUUUACUGUGAAAUACUGCAUCUCUUUUUGUUCGCAGAGCAUGGGAAGACUUCCAUGGACUGGUGACUGCUAGUGGCGGACGUUAGCCCCUCAGCCAGAGAACCUCUUGGAGAGGUGUGUAUACGUGAUGUGCUGGGGUCUGACAUGUCCAGGAGAGGAAACCUCUGUGUGGACUGGCAUUGUGGAACAUGAAGACAGGACCAGAAGACCAUUCGUCCUCUGUGUCAAUUUGGAAAUGAACAAAAAAGCCUGUCAACAGAACACUGAACCAAGCCGAAGACAGAAACAUGCGUUAUUUUUAAUCAACCAGAGACAGACAAUGCCUCAAAUGUUUUAUUUGUUUUAUUUUUUUAUGCAGUUUGUAACAUCCUAUUAACUGCCCCUCCUGAGGGAGGUCACGUGACUGUUUUUUGCUGAUCUGGUCAUUAGCUGUUAACAAAGUGUACUUGACAAAAACCCAACAAUCUGCUAUAAUACUGGAUAUCAUUGCUUAACAAAACACCACACUUGAUGAUUUAAUGUGUUUGUGUUAAACUUGUUACAUUGGGACUCAAACAGGGUUGCAGGUAGAUGUUAUUUUAUUACAGUGCUGUAUUUUAACUACAGUUCCUCUGGACAUUUCCAACAAGAAAGAUUACUAUUAUUGUGUAUGAUAUAUUUGUAAAUACAGACCACUUCAAAGAUCACUCAUCUGAAUCAACUGUGAUUCUCCAUCUUUGACCUGGAAUUCGAAUUCCAAAGGAUGAAGACCAUCCCGUGUUGGGCAGAGGGUUUUAUAAUCGGCAUCUUUAGAAUGGACUGCCAAGCUGCCUAAAUCACUGUGCCUGGCCAAGAGCCCAACCCGAACCAGUUUUCCCUUCUGUUUUGUCUUUUUCCCCUGCCUUUUAAAGAAUCCAUGGGAUGGGCUCUGCUUUAAUGUCCUCAACAAAGGUGUACAGAAGUCCUGGAACACUGACCUUCACUCCCUUUUCCAUUUUUCAGAAAUGAAACUGGGCCCAGGGUCAGACUCUGUUACAGUUUUUAUUAAUUCUUCGGGAGCAUUUUUUGGAACCAGAUUAAGAGAGAACACAGUUUGUUGAAAAACUGUAAUGCUGCCCUUAUUUGCUGGUGUGGCGAUGGGUGGGAGUGUAUGUCCGAAGUGAAGCAACACUGCUGGAUGUACACCUGAUGGAUUAUAGCAAUAAAUGUCAAAUAUGCAUCUGCUGCUAAAGCUA